CGUAUAAUCACGUAUAAUGUCAUGAGAAUAAUUUUCUGUCUAAAUGCUGUCAAAUCGCUAAAUACUUGACCAAAGGCAAUAGAAUACUCAUCGAAAUUCUCUAAAAGCUCUAUAAUAUUUUUUUCCUUUAAAUGUUAUGCUCAACGUAAUUUUUUUAAAUAACAACAACCUAAAAAAAAACACUGUGUGUAUCUUUAAUUCUUCUUGCUUAUUUAAUUAGAGACCAAAAGCAACUCGUUUCUAAAACUGUUGAUUUUUGGACGGCGGGACCGCACCCACAGUCAACUUGAAUAUUGUAUAGCUACUAUUUAGGAAAUUGAGGUUGCGCACGUUAUAUCUUUAUCGGUGUUUAAUUCGUAAAUAUUUUUACUUGACGAAACAGCCAAAGGCUAGAAACUGCAACUGGGUAUUAUUCAUCCCUCACUUCAUUACAUAUUCGAGAUUUUACCGCGUAACGACCGUGACCGGCGUGACGUACAAGUUGUAAUUAGCCACAGGCUUCAUACUAUAUAUAGAAUCCCGUUUCUCGUUCUUUUGAAGGGCAUUUAUUUCUUUCAAUUGGUUGCGUUUUUAGAUGCUAACUUCUUGUUUAAUUACUCAACUCGGCAGACUUUAAUUUGGCAUCAAACAAUGGUAUCUUCCAAUGGUAAUAAUUAUUAUUGAUGAUGUCCAGGACAACACGCGAAUAAGAGAACAAAUUUAAACGAAAAAAUUUUAAUUGUGAUUAAAAGCUCAGCUCGUUUUAAAAAAACAAAACAAAAAUGUAAUUCCUUCCAAGCCAAUUUCCAAUACAAUCUCACAUUACCAAGAACAAUAUCAAACGAUUGAAAUGGUUGCUGAGCAACGUGAUUUAAAAAGGAGUCAAAUGCUGUAUGUGCUUUGUUUCGGUAUCAGUUAACCCAAGAAAGGGAAAGCAGUUGGGUAAGUUGGGUAGUAACCAGAGUAAGGGAGGGCAGCAUAGGGAUAAUAAGGGUAGGUCUUAAGAACGGGUGUGACUGGAACAACAGCCUGGUCAGGUUGACCGUUCUGGUUCAAAUCGACACUCUUGUACUUGAGGUCAUCGAGGAAUUGCUGGUCAGGUGCGGGGACAGCGAUAACCUGACGCUUCUUGCGCGAGCUCUCAACAGCAGUGGGGGCAG